rnacentral:rRNA from 1 species
UACGUAGGGGCUAGCGUUAUCCGGAAUUACUGGGCGUAAAGGUUGCGUAGGUGGUUUCUUAAGUCAGAGGUGAAAGGCUACGGCUCAACCGUAGUAAGCCUUUGAAACUGGGAAACUUGAGUGCAGGAGAGGAGAGUGGAAAUCCUAGUGUAGCGGUGAAAUGCGUAGAUAUUAGGAGGAACACCAGUUGCGAAGGCGGCUCUCUGGACUGUAACUGACACUGAGGCACGAAAGCGUGGGGAGCAAACAGGAUUAGAUACCCUGGUAGUCCCUGAG